rnacentral:rRNA from 1 species
CCCUAGUAACUGCGAGUGAAGCGGGAAAAGCUCAAAUUUAAAAUCUGGCGGUCUUUGRCUGUCCGAGUUGUAAUCUAGAGAAGUGUUAUCCGCGCUGGACCGUGUACAAGUCUCCUGGAAUGGAGCGUCAUAGAGGGUGAGAAUCCCGUCUUUGACACGGACUGCCAGGGCUUUGUGAUGCGCUCUCAAAGAGUCGAGUUGUUUGGGAAUGCAGCUCAAAAUGGGUGGUAAAUUCCAUCUAAAGCUAAAUAUUGGCGAGAGACCGAUAGCGAACAAGUACCGUGAGGGAAAGAUGAAAAGAACUUUGGAAAGAGAGUUAAACAGUACGUGAAAUUGCUGAAAGGGAAACGCUUGAAGUCAGUCGCGUUGUCCGGGGAUCAACCUUGCUUUUGCUGGGUGUACUUUCCGGUUGACGGGUCAGCAUCAAUUUUGACCGYUGGAUAAAGGUUUUGGGAAAGUGGCUUCCUCGGAAGUGUUAUAGCCCAGGGUCGCAUACAACGGUUGGGAUUGAGGAACUCAGCACGCCGAAAGGCCGGGUACUUGUACCACGUUCGUGCUUAGGAUGCUGGCAUAAUGGCUUUWAUCGACCCGUCUUGAAACACGGACC